GUGAGGAAUAUUGGUCAAUGGGCGAGAGCCUGAACCAGCCAAGUCGCGUGAAGGAUGAAGGUUUUAUGAAUUGUAAACUUCUUUUGCAGGGGAAUAAAGUACGGUACGUGUACCGUUUUGUAUGUACCCUGAGAAUAAGGAUCGGCUAACUCCGUGCCAGCAGCCGCGGUAAUACGGAGGAUCCGAGCGUUAUCCGGAUUUAUUGGGUUUAAAGGGUGCGUAGGUGGUUUGAUAAGUCAGCGGUGAAAGUUUGCAGCUUAACUGUAAAAAUGCCGUUGAAACUGUCGGACUUGAGUGUAAAUGAGGUAGGCGGAAUGCGUGGUGUAGCGGUGAAAUGCAUAGAUAUCACGCAGAACUCCGAUUGCGAAGGCAGCUUACUAAGCUACAACUGACACUGAAGCACGAAAGCGUGGGGAUCAAACAGGAUUAGAAACCCCUGUAGUCC
rnacentral:rRNA from 1 species